CCCAAGGAGAGACGUCCAGCCCUUGACCAACACCCUCAUGACCAAAGCAGUAAUUAAUUGUCUUGGUCCCCCACGACAGUGACCAUAAGAAGCACAGGUAAAUCCUUAAUGUCCAGUUCUUCAUGUAAGAGGGCUGCCCCAGGGCUGAAUCGGUUCACUGACUACCUAAGUACUUGCAUAUAUACACACCAGCACACCGAUUUUACACCCAUGAAUGAAGAUUGAUAUAGGUGCGAGCUACAACACAGAAAAUGAGAGUGCCACAGUUCACUGAAUCCUGGGGCUCGGGAGAUGCUACGGUUCGUCAGUUCUACAGCUUGACACACACAUAACGUCACACCAUAGGCACACACCCCUGAACCACACCAGGGGGCGCUGGUCGCACAAGAAACUGACACCAAUCCAGCCCUGUUGCGUGGCACGCUCACAAAUGUCCAUUUAUCAUGCCAUCAUAUCCCGCGGAGUGAAAAUCAUUGAAGAAUGAAAACAACAACUUGUCUGUCUUUUGUUCCGACUUUGUUAGCUACAGUUAGCCCCUGUUAAAACAGAAGGUCGCCAGUUUGUAGUAUAAAUAGUUGACCACCGUGAUCUUGCCAGGCUCCAGAUAUUGAGUAAAGGUCUUGCUGCCGUCUGCUUCUCACGAUAUGUACCCUCAGCAAUGAAACAGCUUUUCUGGCUACCUUUGGUAUCUGGCUCAAACACUGUCACAGUAGCUUAUCCUGCUAAACGUGUGUCUGAAAAUAAAAUGUCGCAAGAAUUAGCAUGGCAUUACCGUCAAACACCUCACUGUCUGCAUGUUGUAUCACGAUGGCGGCAGCCGACAAAAAUAGCAAAAUUACAAACAUGUUUUGUGUGUUUUGUGCUCAUUAACAUGCGGGCAUGUUAGGUUUCAAUACAAUGAUGGCAUGAAUAUAUAUCAGGUUAACUUUUGUUAGAAUUUUUAAUAAAAAAAAUCCACUAUCAAUAUAAGUAUACAUCUAUACAAUUUUU